rnacentral:rRNA from 1 species
AUUGAACGCUGGCGGCAUGCCUUACACAUGCAAGUCGAACGGUAACGCGGGGCAACCUGGCGACGAGUGGCGAACGGGUGAGUAAUGUAUCGGAACGUGCCCAGUCGUGGGGGAUAACUGCUCGAAAGAGCAGCUAAUACCGCAUACGACCUGAGGGUGAACGCGGGGGAUCGCAAGACCUCACGCAAUUGGCGCGGCCGAUAUCAGAUUAGGUAGUUGGUGGGGUAAGGGCCCACCAAGCCAACGAUCUGUAGCUGGUCUGAGAGGACGACCAGCCACACUGGGACUGAGACACGGCCCAGACUCCUACGGGAGGCAGCAGUGGGGAAUUUUGGACAAUGGACGCAAGUCUGAUCCGGCCAUGCCGCGUGCGGGAAGAAGGCCUUCGGGUUGUAAACCGCUUUUGUCAGGGAAGAAAAGGGCGACUUUAAUACAGUUGCCUCAUGACGGUACCUGAAGAAUAAGCACCGGCUAACUACGUGCCAGCCGCCGCAGUAACAC